GGGUCCCGUCAUCAGAAAUCGGUUGAGACAGUCGCCGUUGGCCAAGGAGCUCGAACCGUUGAAGACCACUCUCAACUUAGUAGAGGCACUGCUUUCGCGCAGGACCCCGUGGUGAGGAAGGUAGCAGGGCCCGACUGGCGGCGCGUCGAGUGGCUGAGAGGUCAGGCAGAGGCUCGAUCGUCGGCAGUCUCACCACAUAUCGACCGUUGGCUGUACGAGUGUGAUGUCGUAGGAAGUGAUCCUCGCACUCCUGGUCAGCCUUAGAAUAGAGUUGUGAAGGUCGUUGAAGCUCCUCCUGCUCCCAGAAGCGACGCACCAGGAUAGAGACGUCGUCUUCAAUUCGGCAUUGGCCCUGACAGAGGAUUGAACCGUAAACGUCCGCGCCAAGGAGGAUGUCAACCGGAUCCGCUG